rnacentral:tRNA from 1 species
UUAUAAAAAUUUUAUAAGAUUUUUUAGUAUUAAAAAUUGCAAUUUUUUUUUAUUAUCCUUGAUUUAUUUUAUAAU